rnacentral:rRNA from 1 species
UACAGAGGGGGCAAGCGUUGUUCGGAAUUACUGGGCGGAAAGGGCGCGUAGGCGGCCUUCUAAGUCGAACGUGAAAUCCCCGGGCUCAACCCGGGAACUGCGUCCGAUACUGGAAGGCUUGAAUCCGGGAGAGGGAUGCGGAAUUCCAGGUGUAGCGGUGAAAUGCGUAGAUAUCUGGAGGAACACCGGUGGCGAAGGCGGCAUCCUGGACCGGUAUUGACGCUGAGGCGCGAAAGCCAGGGGAGCAAACGGG